rnacentral:rRNA from 1 species
UGAGGAAUAUUGGGCAAUGCCCGAAAGGGUGACCCAGCAACGCCGCGUGGAGGAUGAAGGUCGUAAGAUUGUAAACUCCUGUUAGAGGGGAAGAAUAACUAAGUUUGGAGCUUAGUAUGACUGUACCCUCAGAGAAAGCCCCGGCUAACUUCGUGCCAGCAGCCGCGGUAAUACGAAGGGUGCAAGCGUUACUCGGAAUUACUGGGCGUAAAGCGUGCGUAGGUGGUUGUUUAAGUCUGAUGUGAAAGCCCUGGGCUCAACCUGGGAAUGGCAUUGGAAACUGGGCAGCUAGAGUGCGGUAGAGNGUAGUGGAAUUCCCGGUGUAGCAGUGAAAUGCGUAGAGAUCGGGAGGAACAUCUGUGGCGAAGGCGACUGCCUGGACCAGCACUGACACUGAGGCACGAAAGCGUGGGGAGCAAACA